CCCAGGUCUUUAAUUGAUUUGAUUCUAAGACGGGGCUGUGUGUUUAUACCCAGGUCUUUAAUUGAUUUGAUUCUAAGACGGGGCUGUGUGUUUAUACCCAGGUCUUUAAUUUGACUGCAUUAGGACAGGGAACAGAAAGGAAGGGACUUUCCCAAGUGGAGUGUGAUGGCGGAGUUGGUUUCUCUCUCCACCGCAGUCCUUUUGAAUGGCUUCUUCUCUAGCCAAGUUGACUAUUAACCCCCCCCACAAGUGGGGGAAUUAAUGUUGGAAGAUAUUAUUCUGGGUCUGCCCCCCCCCCCCCCCCCUCUAAAGUCUCCACGUCUCUCUGAAGUCUGUUUAACUUCUGUCCCCCCCACCCUAAAGUCUCCACGUCUCUGAAGUCUGUUUAACUUCUGCCCCCCCCCCCCCCCUAAAGUCUCCAGGUCUCUCUGAAGUCUGUUUAACUUCUGUCCCCCCCCCCCCCCUAAAGUCUCCACGUCUCUCUGAAGUCUUAACUUCUGAAGAUGAUAUUCUGGACAGUAUAUCCCAUCAAUGGAUCCCUCAUUUUACAUGCUGUCCUGGUUUUACUGUCUGUUUUCUCCAGAUUUCCUUUUAAAUCGAUUUGUCUUCAUUCUUUUACAACGUGUUGUUAUUCUGUCUCCUUUUUGUAGGUAAUUCUUCUUCUUGUGUUUUAUUCAAGCCAACUGUUUGAGGUUUCUCUUUUUUCCCCAUAAAGUAAUUAAACAUUUACCAGAUGUAGAUGGGAAACAUUAGUGGUUUUUAUCAUUCUGUGGAAUUCAGCUGUCGUUGCAUUGAAGCAAAAAACUGUUUUGAAAUAAAAUAAUUAAAAUAGAAAA